rnacentral:rRNA from 1 species
CCUACGGGAGGCAGCAGUGAGGAAUAUUGGUCAAUGGACGAGAGUCUGAACCAGCCAAGUAGCGUGAAGGAUGACUGCCCUAUGGGUUGUAAACUUCUUUUAUAUGGGAAUAAAACGUUCCACGUGUGGGAUUUUGUAUGUACCAUAUGAAUAAGGAUCGGCUAACUCCGUGCCAGCAGCCGCGGUAAUACGGAGGAUCCGAGCGUUAUCCGGAUUUAUUGGGUUUAAAGGGAGCGUAGGUGGAUUGUUAAGUCAGUUGUGAAAGUUUUCGGCUCAACCGUAAAAUUGCAGUUGAAACUGGCAGUCUUGAGUACAGUAGAGGUGGGCGGAAUUCGUGGUGUAGCGGUGAAAUGCUUAGAUAUCACGAAGAACUCCGAUUGCGAAGGCAGUUCACUGGACUGCAACUGACACUGAGGCUCGAAAGUGUGGGUAUCAAACAGGAUUAGAUACCCGAGUAGUC